rnacentral:ribozyme from 1 species
CAGCUGUGGGGGGAUGUCAAGAGAAAGAGAACAAAGUGAAGAAGAAGAAGAACAGAUUUUCCAAAGGACAACUCUCUCCCCUGAAGAACUGAAUUUUGAGAUGAAACUCAUUCCCGGAGGUCCCUUCGAGAUGGGAAGUGCAACAAUAUAUUUUUAUGAAGAUAAUGAGCACCCAGUUCGAACCAUAGAUGUCCCUUCUUUUUUGAUUUCUUCAAC